rnacentral:rRNA from 1 species
UACGUAGGGGGCUAGCGUUGUCCGGAAUCAUUGGGCGUAAAGAGCGUGUAGGCGGCCCGGUAAGUCCGCUGUGAAAGUCGGGGGCUCAACCCUCGAAUGCCGGUGGAUACUGUCGGGCUAGAGUGCGGAAGAGGCGAGUGGAAUUCCUGGUGUAGCGGUGAAAUGCGCAGAUAUCAGGAGGAACACCAAUGGCGAAGGCAGCUCACUGGGACGGUAUUGACGCUGAGACGCGAAAGCGUGGGGAGCAAACAGG